UACGUAGGGACCAAGCGUUUGUUCGGAUUUACUGGGCGUAAAGGGCGCGUAGGCGGCAAUUCAAGUCAUCUGUGAAAUCUCCGGGCUUAACCCGGAACGGUCAGGUGAUACUGUUUUGCUAGAGUGCGGAAGGGGCAAUCGGAAUUCUCGGUGUAGCGGUGAAAUGCGUAGAUAUCGAGAGGAACACCAGAGGUGAAGACGGGUUGCUGGGCCGACACUGACGCUGACAGCGCGAAAGCCAGGGGAGCAAACGGG
rnacentral:rRNA from 1 species